rnacentral:lncRNA from 1 species
CUAAAAUAGUGGGAGGCAUUCCAUCAAAUUACUCUCUCCUCCAACUACUUUUCACUUGUUUAAUUUUUCAGACUUUGGGAAAAUUAUUUCUGAAACUACUUUGUUCUUUUACACGUGAGCAUUCAACUCCUGUCAACAUCUGACUGCUUGAUUGCUUGCAACCUGAUCUGCCACUAAAUUUUGCCAUUUCAUCUGCUGUCAUACCCAGACUUGAGAUUUUUUCAUCAAAGCCACUGCCGGACUAAAACAGCUCUCCAAACCCCAUAGUGCUAAUGACGGCUAAAAGUCGUGAGGGGUCUCUGGGUAAACAAAACAUCCUUUCUGUUUCAGUGAUUCCUUGAUGGCUGCAAGCUGCCCUAAUGCUUGCUGAUAGAUAUCUCAGCAUGGGAAUCAUAAGCGUGUGGGAGCAGCAGUAUCUGAAGGAACAUGGGUGGGAUAAGACCUGUAAAGAGGAAAUAUUCCUUGAAGAAAAGUCCUUUUCAUUUCCCUGGACAGCAAUUCUCACUUCUGUGACCUCCUUUGCACCAAAAGGGACAGUAUUGACAAGGCUGUUUGUGUCCCCUGAGACAGAGGAAGUAGCAUGGGGCUCCCUAAAAGAUGGACCAAAAAUCCCCAAGGAGGCAAAUAGAGAGGUGGAUGACCUGGGAAGAACAGGCAUGCUUCUGCUUGUUUGUGUGGGGAAUUGUACUGGUUUUCACUGGGACAGAAUUCUUCAUAGAAACUUGUAUGGUGAUAGCUUUUGGAUUUCUGACCAAAAUGGUGGUAAGAACCCCUCAGUUUAGCUCCUGCAGAACAGGGCUUGUGCAGCCUCAAGCUUUUCUCAUGAUGCUCUCUCAGUGAGUGGACCAGGGUGCACGAGAGGAGAAGACCCAGCCAGGACCACCUGAUGACCACACGGAUAUCCCAAACCAUGUCACAUUGUGCUCAGCAAGAACAACUGAGGAAAGAAGGAGGAAAUGGAGAAUGUUCAGAGUUAAGGCAUUUUUCUUUCCAAAUAACUGUUCCAUGAGAUGGAGUCCUGCUUUCCUGGAGAUGACUGAACACUUGCCUGCCCUUGGAAAGUGGUAAAUAAAUUCCUUGUUUUGCUCUGCUUGUAUGCA